GGCUCGUUCGUCUAUUGGCGGAGGAUCGCUGUUUUUCACACAGCAGAGACGGGUUCGAUUCCCGUACGAGCCA
rnacentral:tRNA from 1 species